GCCUUCAUGGUGUAGUUGUCAGCGCGCCCGACGUGUAAUUGGGAGUUCCGAAGUUCGAAUCCCUGCGAGGGCA
rnacentral:tRNA from 1 species